rnacentral:rRNA from 1 species
AGACGGAGGGUGCAAACGUUGCUCGGAAUCACUGGGCAUAAAGAGCACGUAGGCGGUCCGCUAAGUCUGAAGUGAAAUCCCCCGGCUCAACCGGGGAACGGCUUCGGAUACUGGCGGGCUUGAGGAUGGUAGGGGUGAGUGGAACUCCAGGUGGAGCGGUGAAAUGCGUAGAUAUCUGGAGGAACACCUGUGGCGAAAGCGGCUCACUGGACCAUCUCUGACGCUGAGGUGCGAAAGCCAGGGUAGCGAACGGGAUUAGAUACCCGAGUAGUCC